rfam:Candidate division TM6 bacterium RIFCSPHIGHO2_12_FTLL_32_22 rifcsphigho2_12_scaffold_41430, whole genome shotgun sequence.
GCUGGCGUAGCUCAAUGGUAGAGCAGCUGAUUUGUAAUCAGCAGGUUGCUGGUUCAAGUCCAGUCGCCAGCU